UACAGAGGUGGCAAGCGUUGUUCGGAAUUACUGGGCGUAAAGGGCGCGUAGGCGGUUCGUUAAGUCCUGUGUGAAAUCCCCCGGCUCAACUGGGGAACUGCACAGGAAACUAGCGGGCUUGAGUUCGGGAGAGGGAAGCGGAAUUCCGGGUGUAGCGGUGAAAUGCGUAGAUAUCAGGAGGAACACCGGUGGCGAAGGCGGUUCUCUGGGCAUUACCUGACGCUGAGACGCGAAAGCGUGGGGAGCGAACAGG
rnacentral:rRNA from 1 species